rnacentral:lncRNA from 1 species
UUUCUUCAAUUCGUGAAAGCAAGCAUCAUAGACAGGAGUUUCUUCAAUUCGUGAAUGCAAGCAUCAUAGAAAUGUCCUCUUCAGAUUAAGACUCGGUCAGAAAUAGUAAUUUCCUCAUUUCAUAUUCUCACAAAUAUUUUUAUUCAAGUCAUGCGUCUCCUCGAUCAUUUAUCUCAGGUACCGGAUCGUCUUCAAUUCAAAUAUUUCCAUAUACCCCACACUCAACACUCAAUGUAAUGCGAGAAUAAUCACCUUCUCCAUCUUCUCUUACACCUCCUACUCCACAUGUGACACCCCACAUUGCUGCUGUUGAAAUGGAAGACGAUCAAUAGUUGUCUUGAUUAGAUCCACCUAAGCAGCACCACAACAGAUCCACCCAAACAACUUUAUUAUAUUUGUUUGCAGCUGGCAUGUAGCCUGAUUUUUGGAGCGUCUGCACUGUAGUUGGAAGCGUGUAUCAUCUAACAAAAAGCCAAUGAAUCACAAAGUAAAAAAUUGAAUUCUAGAAGAAAUAUUACUGGGAAACUGAUUGAAAAAUAAAGACUAUUCUAGUUACAUUGCUUUGUGUAUGGCAAGCUCAAGCUAUUUGAUCUCUCACUGAUUGGACCAAAAGAGCCUCUGUCGAUCACUACCAUAUGAAAUGCAAAAAAACUUAUUAAACCAUCUGAUCCAUGACUGAUUGAUUGACUAUAUGAUUCAAAAUUAAAAAUACUGGAAGCACUAUGACCCUGCAGCCUAGCAGGAUGAACAUCAUAAAGUAAUUUUGAACCCCAUAGAAGGCAUGCAGAGCUAGUCACCGAGCAUCCAUCAUCUCCAAGGUUUUGACGUAAAUGUCCAAAAGUUACACCCUCCGGUACUGUAUGUUGCUUCAAGAAGUUGAGAUUGUACCUCCAGAUGAAAUGAGCAUAUACUGAAAUACUAAUAUAUUGUAAGUUUAUAACCCACAGAUUAACAUUAGAAAAUUGUAGCCUAUUGCAUCACAAAUCAUGAUAUUGGUAUAUACAUUUGUAUAAGGAAAAAGGAAAAUGAACUGCCAUAUUUAUGCAGAAGGAAAAUAAUCAUGCUCGCAUAAAAAGAGAUGUAAUUGCAUAAAUAAGACACCUAUUGUAGCAUAACUAACUGUUAAGUUUGGAUAUGAUAGAGAAUAAAAUUGCCAAAUAUGGGAGAGGGAGGACGACCGCAAUAAUGAGAUGAGGGCGAUGGUCGAUUGUGGGGUCAAUCUGGUGAGGGUUCGGUACUGCCAGCGGUAAGCCCAUGAGGCAGCUGUGGUGAUCGUGGAGCCCAUCGGGCCCAUGCGCAGCUGCAGGAUUUGGAGAGCGAGUGGCCGGCUGGCCGCUACGACACUACCAGAGCACUUCGUGGUCAAUACUAAAGCAACCUCUUCCUCUUGCCCAAGCAUACUACCUCCUAACCUCAUCCUCCCAAAUCAUUUUUCCACGAAAUUUUACAAGGGCACAGAUGAUUCGGAUAUUUAUAUGUAUAGUGUUUCUAAAACUGUUUGACAUUUGGAAAAUUAUUAUUCCACGCGGGUGCACCUAUGAAUUACUCCUAUGCAACUUGCUAGUUUUCUUCACCAUCCAAUUACAUUAAAACUGAAUCCGGUCAGAAAAAAAAAACAAGCUCAGUAAACUGAAUGCAGUGUGCAUCAACAUAAUAACUCAUUAAUAUAUAGCUCUGUGACCGGCAGAAACAUUGGCUUUCAAUAAUGAAAAUAGAGUAUGUUUAACAGUCAUUUACAUGUUUAUUUCGUUGUAGUGGCAACCCAAUGGGAGAACUUUGCAUACUUAGACAUUCAACUCACACUUUUUAACCAAAGUACAUUUAAUUCACUGAAUAAAAAGGAAAUAAUUGACGAAACAAAUGCAGUGGUUAGUUACCUGAAGUAUACUACGCAUACCUAAAUGUGUUUCUCAACAGAUUGUGUCACACAUUUAGUAGUGAAAAAUAUAGAUUGCAAUGCACCCCUCUUUUUGUCCUCCAUGACAACUUGAUCUGCAUGAAAGCAGCCAAAUUCAGAACAAACAAAGGAUACAUAAAAAGACAUAUACAAUAUCUGGAACAAGGCACCGUGCUACAACAAAGAUGAACAAGUCCCCGUCUGCCAAACAACAAUAAAUCCUUUGGUCAAAUUUGUAUUAAUUACAUCCACGAUGUGACGUUGUCUCCUGCUAUUGAUCCUAGUCACAGGCCUGCACUCAGUCCUAGCCUCCUUCAUGCUGUGGUUAAGAGAGGAAAAACAAGUGAGAGAAAGAGGGUAUGGGAGAGAUGGGGUUAUGUCCUAAAUCAAUCAAUAUCUAUGUGUAAGUGUUAAUUUACCCUCCCAUAGUUCAGAAUCAGGGCUCGUAUCUGUUUGAUUUUAGGUAGAUUACAUUUUAAAAUGGAGUGAUUUGAUCCAAAUCUUUUUACACCGGCCGAGCUAUCAUCUUGGAACAGAAGUAAUUUUUCUUCCAUCCUGAGGUUUGACAAGACCAUGCUCCCCUAAGACAUGUGUGCACUGGUUUUUGUUGAUUUCAGUUUCAGGAAGGAUGUAGAUGGCAGUCCCCCUUUUUAUGUAGUUUUUCCGUUGCUUAGAACUGAAUCAACUGAUGCUUGCAUUUGUUACUGUUCUGCUCAGCCUGUUGGUCAAAUGUCUGCAUGACGUCUUUCUAUCAUCUCUAUAAAUAUUGUUAAUGUGUGAGAGGGAGAGAUGUUGUCUGUUCUCGUGUGGCCUCCAAAUAUGUGCUCCCUCCAGAUGAGAUACAUCACAUAAUUUACUCGUUCUAGUUGGUACAUUAACAAAUCUACACAAAGCGAUCAAGCAAGUGUAAUUCCUACACUGAUCUACAUUUUCUAAUUGCUCCCAAUCCCCAACCUAGAUGAAGCAACAAAAAAAUAAAGAAAGGAGAGCGGGAUUUAGGAUUGAGAAAUACUGUGUCCUGCUGCUAGACCGCAUGGCCUCGUGCUUGCUUCUUCACAUCUAUGACCUGCAGGCUGCAGCGCACCAACGUUGCUGGCUUCUUCACCACCAAGCCUAGAAGAGAACCUGCAUCUGAACAAACAAAACAACCGCCAUGUCUGGAAUCUGCAUGACUCGAGAGGAAGGGACAAUAACUCUAAUGAGGAGAAUAGAAAGAAAAAAA